rnacentral:rRNA from 1 species
CCCUUAGAUGUUCUGGGCCGCACGCGCGCUACACUGAUGCAUUCAACGAGUCCAACCUUGACCGAGAGGUCCGGGUAAUCUUUGAAACUGCAUCGUGAUGGGGCUAGAUUAUUGCAAUCAUUAAUCUUCAACGAGGAAUGCCUAGUAAGCGUGAUUCAUCAAAUCGCGUUGAUUACGUCCCUGCCCUUUGUACACACCGCCCGUCGCUCCUACCGAUUGAGUGUGUUGGUGAGGAGUUUGGAUUGGCCUCGGAAGGUGGUUCGCCACCGUCCGUAGCUGAGAAGUUCUCCAAACCGCCCCACUUAGAGGAAGGAGAAGUCGUAACA